rnacentral:tRNA from 1 species
GUGUUUAUAGUUUAUAAGUUAAAACAAGUUCUUGAAAAGUAUUAGAAGGUGUUUUGAGUAGA